UACGUAGGGUGCGAGCGUUGAUCGGAAUUACUGGGCGUAAAGCGUGCGCAGGCGGUCUGCUAAGACAGGCGUGAAAUCCCUGGGCUCAACCUAGGAAUUGCGCUUGUGACUGGCGGGCUAGAGUACGGUAGAGGGGGGUGGAAUUCCUGGUGUAGCAGUGAAAUGCGUAGAGAUCAGGAGGAACACCGAUGGCGAAGGCAGCCCCCUGGGCCUGUACUGACGCUCGGGCACGAAAGCGUGGGGAGCAAACAGG
rnacentral:rRNA from 1 species